GGACAAGGAGACUGGAGUGGAGAGAUGAGGGUCUCUCCCUACUGGAGUCGGAGAGGAGGGCAGAGUCACCUACCUCCCAAGCAACAGAGGCUUUAAGAGGAUUUCCUCCUACUCUCCUCCUGCUCCCUGGUGCGUGCUUCUCGCCUUGUCUGAUGAAGAAUUCUCUGCCUAUACCUGAUAAACACUGAGGUUUAUCCAGAACCAGUGGCCACUUGAGUGGCCCAGGGCCAGCCUUCCCCGGGAAAGAACGUUCUCACCGUUG
rnacentral:lncRNA from 1 species